GGGUCCGCCGCCGACCGCCGCGCCUGCUCUCGGGCGGGACAGGUGGGCCAAGGGGACCUCGCCUGGAAGGGCGCCAAGUUCAGGGGGCACAUUCCGGCUGCGCAGUGAGUCGUUUCCCUGGCCCGACUCCGGGAGCCCUGGAAAAGUCGCGAAGGAGGCGGCAUGGCCGGGCAGCCUUAUCGUUCUCCCCAGGCGAGGAACCCAGAGAGAGGAUCAGGUGUUUUCAGGUUAACUGCCAGAAAUGCAAUGGCGCCUCUUGAUUCCGAGGUGAAAGAAGAAUGUCUGAGGAAAGACCUGAAGUUUUACUUCAUGAACCCUUGUGAAAAAUACCGAGCCAGACGCCAGAUCCCGUGGAAACUGGGUUUGCAGAUUUUGAAGAUAGUCAUGGUCACUGCACAGCUUGUUCGUUUUGGUUUGAGUAACCAGCUGGUAGUUGCUUUUAAAGAAGAUAACACAGUGGCUUUUAAGCACUUGUUUUUGAAGGGAUAUUCUGGUAUAGAUGAAGAUGACUACAGCACCAGUGUCUAUACGCAAGAGGACGCCUAUGACAGCAUCUUUUUUGCUAUUAAUCAGUAUCAUCAUCUAAAGGACAUUGCCCUGGGGACCCUUGGCUAUGGAGAAAAUGAAGACAAUAGAAUUGGCUUAAAAGUCUGUAAGCAGCACUACAAGAAAGGGACCAUGUUUCCUUCCAAUGAGACACUGAGCAUGGACAGUGACAUUGAGAUAGAUUGCCUUCACUUAGACCUCCAGGCCCUCUCCAGGAACUCUGAGGACUGGAAGAACUCAUCAUUCUUCAGACUGGAAUUUUAUCGGCUCCUAAAAGUUGAAAUCUCCUUUCGACUCAAAGGCAUUGACCUGCAAACAAUUCAUUACCGUGAGUUACCAGACUGUUACGUCUUUCGGAAUACGAUUACCUUUGACAAUAAAGCUCACAGUGGCAAAAUCAAAAUAUAUUUUGACAGUGAUGCCAACAUUGAAGAGUGUAAAGACUUGAACAUAUUUGGAUCUACUCAGAAAAAUAUGCAGUAUGUCCUGGUGUUUGACACAUUUGUCAUUGUGAUUUGCUUGGCAUCUCUUACCCUGUGCACGAGAUCCAUUGUUCUUGCUCUGAAGUUACGAAAGAGAUUUCUCAAUUUCUUCCUGGAGAAGUACAAGCGGCGGGUGUGUGAAGCUGACCAGUGGGAGUUCAUCAACGGCUGGUAUGUCCUGGUGAUCAUCAGCGACCUAAUGACGAUAAUCGGAUCCAUAUUAAAAAUGGAAAUCAAAGCCAAAAAUCUCACGAAUUAUGACCUGUGCAGCAUCUUGCUUGGGACAUCCACACUCUUGGUUUGGGUCGGAGUCAUCAGAUACCUGGGCUAUUUCCAAGCAUACAAUGUGCUCAUUUUAACGAUGCAAGCCUCACUGCCAAAAGUCCUUCGGUUUUGUGCUUGUGCCGGCAUGAUUUAUCUAGGUUACACAUUCUGCGGCUGGAUUGUCUUAGGACCAUAUCAUGACAAGUUUCAAAAUCUGAACACAGUUGCUGAGUGUCUGUUUUCUUUGGUCAACGGUGAUGACAUGUUUGCAACCUUUGCUCAAAUCCAGCAGAAGAGCGUCCUGGUGUGGCUGUUCAGUCGCCUGUAUUUAUAUUCCUUUAUCAGCCUUUUUAUAUAUAUGAUUCUGAGCCUUUUUAUUGCACUUAUUACAGAUUCUUAUGACACCAUUAAGGUAACAACACUGUGUGCUUUUGAAAGAAAUUCCAACAGAAUGGCUUUCCUGAAACAGACCUGAAGAAAUUCCUGAAGGAAUGUGGCAGCAAAGCCGAGUGUCCCAGAGAGUCCUCCGGCCUCCUGUCCUGCGUCUGCUGUCUGAGGAGGAAAGGAAGCGGCGAUCACUUGAUACUUAUUAACUAAAGUCCUUCUGCUAAAGACUGAAGGUCUAGGGCUCCAUUUCCAGCGGCGAUGCACCCGCGACCAGCAGGUCCCGCAGACUGUGUUCUUUAGUUGUGGUGCAGAAGAGAGGACUGACUGUCACCUGGUGACCAUGACUGAAGUUCCAGAGUUACUUUUAUAAGCUUAUAUGAAGAAGAACAGACCAUGGGCCACUUCUGGACUUUACUGCAAUUGCACAAUGAUAAUGAAAUUCUCUAUUAGUCUGUUAAUUUAUGACAUGAUGAUGUUGGGAUGGGAAAUCCUCAUUGCAGAGCUGGAGACAAUGGUGCUUAAAGCCAUGUAUUUAAGGAUGUGUGUUUACUGUCAAAUAAGGAUUUACUUAAAAAGUGAUUCUUGGGCUGGGAGACGUUUGUUGAUUUGUGGUCUGCACAGAAAUGAAGUUGGUUGUGAUACUGAUUUGUAGACUCCAAGUUAGAGAAAUGAUAAAGCUGUUUAAAGAUCACACUUAAAUGCAUGAAAGACUUCACGCAGUGAGGGUCUUUUAGACUAUUUCCCUGUGGGUUUUCUUCACCAGCAUAUGAAGCAACUGUUGGCAUAGUCAGUGGGACGGAUAGGAAAUGGUCAUUUGGACGCCUUAUUCCUUGUACUCACUGUGCAAUCAAGUGUGAACUGUGGCCUGGUCACUCAUUUUGACGAUUGACCUCCACUGUGUUGGAGAUUUACCUUUGUCAAGUAAGGAAAUACGGUAUAUUUUUUUCCAAAUAAAUUUAUUUUUGUC